GUCUAGGGGAGAGCCUGUAGGUACUCCAUUGUCUGAUGGAUCUGAGAACGCUGUCUGGGCUUGGUACCAAGAGCUGGUAUUUCACAGCAGCGACCGCCUCACAGACGAGCUGUGGGAAGCAGGAGGGAGACUCUCUCUUAGGGUGCCACUACUAUGGAGACACAGCUGGGCUGAACAAGAUUUGCUUCAAACGACAACAAGAGAGACAGAAAGUAUCUGGUUCAACCGCUGCCCGAGCAGGCAGGCACCAGAAGAGCUAGCAGCCAAUCCGGCCAUGCUCGAAGCCAGCUCUGCAGCUCAGCCAAUCAGUGACAUCAUUGCUUUCUUUAGCUUGCCCAUGGUGAUGUGAAGAUGAGAAGAAAUAGCAAGGCCCAACCAGUUCUUCAUCUGGAGACAGUUCAACGUUCUGCAAACCAGAUCUUCAGGAAUUUUACUGGGAUAAUUAUCCAAAUAAAUUGCAAGCAUUCUAUCCAAAUGGAGCUCUUUCUGAGAUGAAGAGAAUUCUCAAUGUCAAGAUUUGAACAAGAAGAGAAUGGAAUACACAAUAUGGACAU
rnacentral:lncRNA from 1 species